CACCGCCCGUCACACCAUGGGAGUUUGUUGCACCAGAAGCAGGUAGCUUAACCGCAAGGAGGGCGCUUGCCACGGUGUGGCCGAUGACUGGGGGUG
rnacentral:rRNA from 1 species